rnacentral:rRNA from 1 species
GUGGGAAUCUGGCCUCUAGAGGGGGAUAACUCGGGGAAACUCGGGCUAAUACCGCAUAAUCUCUAAGGAGGAAAGCGGGGGACCGAAAGGCCUCGCGCUGGGGGAUGAGCCUGCGUCCGAUUAGCUAGUUGGUGGGGUAAGGGCCUACCAAGGCGAUGAUCGGUAGCUGGUCUGAGAGGACGAUCAGCCACACUGGGACUGAGACACGGCCCAGACUCCUACGGGAGGCAGCAGUGGGAAUAUUGGACAAUGGGGGCAACCCUGAUCCAGCAAUGCCGCGUGGGUGAAGAAGGCUUUCGGGUUGUAAAGCCCUUUCAGUGGGGAAGAAAAGCGAUGUGCGAAUAGCACAUCGUGUUGACGUUACCUACAGAAGAAGCACCGGCUAACUCCGUGCCAGCAGCCGCGGUAAUACGGAGGGUGCGAGCGUUAAUCGGAAUUACUGGGCGUAAAGGGCGCGUAGGCGGUUUGGUAAGUUGGGUGUGAAAGCCCCGGGCUCAACCUGGGAAUGGCACUUGAUACUGCCUGGCUAGAGUAUGGUAGAGGGAGGCGGAAUUUCCGGUGUAGCGGUGAAAUGCGUAGAUAUCGGAAGGAACACCAGUGGCGAAGGCGGCCUCCUGGACCACUACUGACGCUGAGGUGCGAAAGCGUGGGAGCAAACAGGAUUAGAUACCCUGUAGUCCACGCCUAACGAUGAGACUAGACGUUGGGAGGGAUAGCCUUUCAGUGUUGCAGCUAACGCGUUAAGUUCUCCGCCUGGGGAGUACGGCCGCAAGGUUGAAACUCAAAUGAAUUGACGGGGGCCCGCACAAGCGGUGGAGCAUGUGGUUUAAUUCGAUGCAACGCGAAGAACCUUACCUGGCCUUGACAUCCCCGGAACUUUGCUGAGAGGCGAGGGUGCCUUCGGGAGCCGGGAGACAGGUGCUGCAUGGCUGUCGUCAGCUCGUG